GACGAACGCUGGCGGCGUGCUUAACACAUGCAAGUCGAACGAUGAAGCUAGAGCUUGCUCUGGUGAAUUAGUGGCGAACGGGUGAGUAACACGUGAGUAACCUGCCCUUGACUCUGGGAUAACUGCUAGAAAUGGUAGCUAAUACCGGAUACGACCCUCGGAGGCAUCUCCAGGGGGUGGAAAGAAUUUCGGUCAAGGAUGGACUCGCGGCCUAUCAGCUAGUUGGUGAGGUAACGGCUCACCAAGGCGACGACGGGUAGCCGGCCUGAGAGGGUGACCGGCCACACUGGGACUGAGACACGGCCCAGACUCCUACGGGAGGCAGCAGUGGGGAAUAUUGCACAAUGGGCGCAAGCCUGAUGCAGCAACGCCGCGUGAGGGAUGACGGCCUUCGGGUUGUAAACCUCUUUUAGUAGGGAAGAAGCGAAAGUGACGGUACCUGCAGAAAAAGCACCGGCUAACUACGUGCCAGCCGCCGCAGUAA
rnacentral:rRNA from 1 species